rnacentral:rRNA from 1 species
UCGAUUGGAAAUGGGGCUUUCCGGCUCGUACAGGCUCUGGUUAUGAGGGGACGAUCACGUAUCGUACGAAUAGGGCCGGGUACGUGGACGGGUACCUCAUCAGGAAAGGCCACGGGCUAACUACGUGCCCAGCAGCCGCCGGUAAAUACGUAGGGUGGCAAGCGUUCGUCCCGGGAAUUUAUUGGGCGUAAAGGCGCGCGCAGGCGUCCUUUUAAGUCUGAUGUGAAAUCUUGCGGCUCAACCGCAAGCGGCCAUUGGAAACUGGGAGGCUUGAGUACAGAAGAGGAGAGUGGAAUUCCACGUGUAGCGGUGAAAUGCGUAGAUAUGUGGAGGAACACCAGUGGCGAAGGCGACUCUCUGGUCUGUAACUGACGCUGAGGCGCGAAAGCGUGGGGAGCAAACAGGAUUAGAUACCCUGGUAGUCCACGCCGUAAACGAUGAGUGCUAGGUGUUAGGGGUUUCGAUGCCCGUAGUGCCGAAGUUAACACAUUAAGCACUCCGCCUGGGGAGUACGGCCGCAAGGCUGAAACUCAAAGGAAUUGACGGGGGCCCGCACAAGCAGUGGAGCAUGUGGUUUAAUUCGAAGCAACGCGAAGAACCUUACCAGGUCUUGACAUCCUUUGACCACUCUGGAGACAGAGCUUCCCCUUCGGGGGCAAAGUGACAGGUGGUGCAUGGUUGUCGUCAGCUCGUGUCGUGAGAUGUUGGGUUAAGUCCCGCAACGAGCGCAACCCUUGACCUUAGUUGCCAGCAUUUAGUUGGGCACUCUAAGGUGACUGCCGGUGACAAACCGGAGGAAGGUGGGGAUGACGUCAAAUCAUCAUGCCCCUUAUGACCUGGGCUACACACGUGCUACAAUGGAUGGUACAAAGGGUUGCGAAGCCGCGAGGUGAAGCCAAUCCCAUAAAGCCAUUCUCAGUUCGGAUUGUAGGCUGCAACUCGCCUGCAUGAAGCUGGAAUUGCUAGUAAUCGCGGAUCAGCAUGCCGCGGUGAAUACGUUCCCGGGCCUUGUACACACCGCCCGUCACACCACGAGAGUUUGUAACACCCGAAGUCGGUGUACCGCGGCCCGCCGCGCCCUUCACUCCUAGAGGUGCUCCGACC